rnacentral:tRNA from 1 species
UACCGGAUCGGCUAACGGUAGGCCAAUGGGCUCUGAACCCAUUAAUCUUGGUUCGAAUCCAAGUCCGGUAG